GAUGAACGCUGGCGGCGUGCCUAAUACAUGCAAGUAGAACGCUGAAGGAAGGAGCUUGCUCUUUCCGGAUGAGUUGCGCACGGGUGAGUAACGCGUAGGUAACCUGCCUGGUAGCGGGGGAUAACUAUUGGAAACGAUAGCUAAUACCGCAUAACCGUAGAUGUUGCAUGACAACUAUUUGAAAGGGGCAAUUGCUCCACUACCAGAUGGACCUGCGUUGUAUUAGCUAGUUGGUGAGGUAACGGCUCACCAAGGCGACGAUACAUAGCCGACCUGAGAGGGUGGUCGGCCACACUGGGACUGAGACACGGCCCAGACUCCUACGGGAGGCAGCAGUAGGGAAUCUUCGGCAAUGGGCGGAAGUCUGACCGAGCAACGCCGCGUGAGUGAAGAAGGGUGUCGGAUCGUAAAGCUCUGUUGUAAGAGAAGAACGAGUGUGAGAGUGGAAAGUUCACAGUGUGACGGUAACUGACCAGAAAGGGACGGCUAACUACGUG
rnacentral:rRNA from 1 species